rnacentral:rRNA from 1 species
UUGGAGGGCAAGUCUGGUGCCAGCAGCCGCGGUAAUUCCAGCUCCAAUAGCGUAUAUUAAAGUUGUUGCAGUUAAAAAGCUCGUAGUUGAAUUUCGGGGUCAGUAGGUCGGUCGUGCCACUGGUAUGAACUGGUUUUACUGAUUCCUCCCUCUUGAAGAACUGUAAUGCCAUUAAUUUGGUGUUGCAGGGAAUCAGGACUGUUACUUUGAAAAAAUUAGGGUGUUUAAAGCAGGCUUUAGCUUGAAUACAUUAGUAUGGAAUAAUGAAAUAGGACGUUUGAUCCUAUUUUAUUGGUUUCUAGGAUUGACGUAAUGAUUAAUAGGGAUAGUUGGGGGCAUUAGUAUUCAAUUGUCAGAGGUGAAAUUCUUGGAUUUAUUGAAGACUAACUACUGCGAAAGCAUUUGCCAAGGAUGUUUUCAUUAAUCAAGAACGAAAGUUAGGGGAUCGAAGACGAUCAGAUACCGUCGUAGUCUUAACCAUAAACUAUGCCGACUAGGGAUCGGAUGAUGUUAAUUUUUUAAUGACUCAUUCGGCGCCUUACGGGAAAC